GAUGAACGCUGGCGGUAUGCUUAACACAUGCAAGUCGAACGGACUCUUCGGAGUUAGUGGCGGACGGGUGAGUAACGCGUGAGAAUCUGGCUUUGGGUUCGGGACAACCACUGGAAACGGUGGCUAAUACCGGAUGUGCCGAGAGGUAAUAGAGGAAUUUCCUGAAGAUGAGCUCGCGUCUGAUUAGCUAGUUGGUGAGGUAAAGGCUCACCAAGGCAGCGAUCAGUAGCUGGUCUGAGAGGAUGACCAGCCACACUGGGACUGAGACACGGCCCAGACUCCUACGGGAGACAGCAGUGGGGAAUUUUCCGAAACGGGCGAGAGGCUGACAGAGCAAUACCGCGUGAGAGAAGGAGGCUCUUGGGUUAUAAACCUCUUUUCUUAGAGGAGAACAAAGUGACGGUACCUAAGGAAUAAGCAUCGGCUAACUCCGUG
rnacentral:rRNA from 1 species